rnacentral:rRNA from 1 species
GUGAAAUUGUUGAAAGGGAAACGAUUAAAGUCAGUCAUACCUUUGAAAAUUCAACAUUUGAAAUGUUGUUGAAUUUGUGGUCAUUUAUGGUUUGCAAAUUUAAUAACUUUUUAUGUGCGAACUUUUUCAAGUGGUAGGUCAACAUCGGUUUUAAUCAUUAUAAAAUGGUUGAAGGAAUGUAACUUUGAUUUCGAUCGAGGUGUUAUAGCCUUUGGCAGAUAUAAUGAUCAAGAUCGAGGAUUGCAAUGGAUACCCAUUUAUUUGGGCUCUUCGUCUGAUCUCUGAUACGUUAUCUUGGUAUCAAAAGCUUUGCUUAUGAUAUUAAGGUUUACAGAUCAAAAGGUUAGAACGGAUUAAAUUCAUUAAGGAUGUUGACGUAAUGGCUUUAAACGAC